GUAGGGAAUCUUCCGCAAUGGGCGAAAGCCUGACGGAGCAACGCCGCGUGAGUGAUGAAGGGUUUCGGCUCGUAAAACUCUGUUAUUAGGGAAGAACAAACGUGUAAGUAACUGUGCACGUCUUGACGGUACCUAAUCAGAAAGCCACGGCUAACUACGUGCCAGCAGCCGCGGUAAUACGUAGGUGGCAAGCGUUAUCCGGAAUUAUUGGGCGUAAAGCGCGCGUAGGCGGUUUCUUAAGUCUGAUGUGAAAGCCCACGGCUCAACCGUGGAGGGUCAUUGGAAACUGGGAGACUUGAGUGCAGAAGAGGAAAGUGGAAUUCCAUGUGUAGCGGUGAAAUGCGCAGAGAUAUGGAGGAACACCAGUGGCGAAGGCGACUUUCUGGUCUGUAACUGACGCUGAUGUGCGAAAGCGUGGGGAUCAA
rnacentral:rRNA from 1 species